rnacentral:rRNA from 1 species
UACGAAGGGGACUAGCGUUGUUCGGAAUCACUGGGCGUAAAGCGCACGUAGGCGGAUAUGUCAGUCAGGGGUGAAAUCCCGGGGCUCAACCUCGGAACUGCCUUUGAUACAGCAUAUCUUGAGUCCGAUAGAGGUGGGUGGAAUUCCUAGUGUAGAGGUGAAAUUCGUAGAUAUUAGGAAGAACACCGGUGGCGAAGGCGGCUCUCUGGACCGAGACUGACGCUGAGGCGCGAAAGCGUGGGGAGCAAACAGG